AUUGAACGCUGGCGGCAGGCCUAACACAUGCAAGUCGAGCGGUAGCACAGAGAGCUUGCUCUCGGGUGACGAGCGGCGGACGGGUGAGUAAUGUCUGGGAAACUGCCUGAUGGAGGGGGAUAACUACUGGAAACGGUAGCUAAUACCGCAUAGCGUCGCAAGACCAAAGAGGGGGACCUUCGGGCCUCUUGCCAUCAGAUGUGCCCAGAUGGGAUUAGCUAGUAGGUGGGGUAACGGCGCACCUAGGCGAGGCUCCGUAGCUGGUCUGAGAGGAUGAGCAGCCACACUGGAGCUGAGACACGGGCCAGACUCCUACGGGAGGCAGCAGUGGGGAAGAUUGCACAAGGGGCGCAAGCCUGAUGCAGCCAUGCCGCGUGUAUGAAGAAGGCCUUCGGGUUGUAAAGUACUUGCAGCGGGGAGGAAGGUGUUGAGGUUAAUAACCUCAGCAAUUGACGUUACCCGCAGAAGAAGCACCGGCUAACUCCGUGCCAGCCGCCGCAGUAA
rnacentral:rRNA from 1 species